rnacentral:rRNA from 1 species
GACGAACGCUGGCGGCGUGCUUAACACAUGCAAGUCGAACGGAAAGGCCCUGCUUUUGUGGGGUGCUCGAGUGGCGAACGGGUGAGUAACACGUGAGUAACCUGCCCUUGACUUUGGGAUAACUUCAGGAAACUGGGGCUAAUACCGGAUAGGAGCUCCUGCUGCAUGGUGGGGGUUGGAAAGUUUCGGCGGUUGGGGAUGGACUCGCGGCUUAUCAGCUUGUUGGUGGGGUAGUGGCUUACCAAGGCUUUGACGGGUAGCCGGCCUGAGAGGGUGACCGGGCAGAUGGGGACAGAGAUACGGACCAGACUGCUACGGGAGGAAGCAGGGGGGAAUAUGGCACAAUGGGCGGAAGCCUGAAGCAGCAACGCCGCGUGCGGGAUGACGGCCUGCGGGGUGUAAAAAAAGUUCGCCUGUGACAAAGCGUGAGUGACGGUAAUGAGUAAAGAAGAACCGGCUAACUACGUG